GUCGAGCGCGGGAAGCAGGCAGAUCCUCUUCGGAGGUGACGCCUGUGGAACGAGCGGCGGACGGGUGAGUAACACGUGGGCAACCUGCCUGUAAGAUUGGGAUAACCCCGGGAAACCGGGGCUAAUACCGGAUAAUACUUUUCGUUGCAUAACGAGAAGUUGAAAGGCGGCUUUUAGCUGUCACUUACAGAUGGGCCCGCGGCGCAUUAGCUAGUUGGUAAGGUAACGGCUUACCAAGGCGACGAUGCGUAGCCGACCUGAGAGGGUGAUCGGCCACACUGGGACUGAGACACGGCCCAGACUCCUACGGGAGGCAGCAGUAGGGAAUCUUCCGCAAUGGACGAAAGUCUGACGGAGCAACGCCGCGUGAGUGAUGAAGGUUUUCGGAUCGUAAAACUCUGUUGUCAGGGAAGAACAAGUGCCGUUCAAAUAGGGCGGCACCUUGACGGUACCUGACCAGAAAGCCCCGGCUAACUACGUGCCAGCAGCCGCGGUAAUACGUAGGGGGCAAGCGUUGUCCGGAAUUAUUGGGCGUAAAGCGCGCGCAGGCGGUCCUUUAAGUCUGAUGUGAAAGCCCACGGCUUAACCGUGGAGGGCCAUUGGAAACUGGAGGACUUGAGUACAGAAGAGGAGAGUGGAAUUCCACGUGUAGCGGUGAAAUGCGUAGAGAUGUGGAGGAACACCAGUGGCGAAGGCGACUCUCUGGUCUGUAACUGACGCUGAGGUGC
rnacentral:rRNA from 1 species